CGAACGGGUGAGUAAUGCGUGACCAACCUGCCCCAUGCUCCAGAAUAGCUCUUGGAAACGGGUGGUAAUGCUGGAUGCUACAACUUGACGCAUGUCUUGUUGGGAAAGUGUUUAGUGGCAUGGGAUGGGGUCGCGUCCUAUCAGCUUGUAGGCGGGGUAAUGGCCCACCUAGGCUUCGACGGGUAGCCGGCCUGAGAGGGCGGACGGCCACAUUGGGACUGAGAUACGGCCCAGACUCCUACGGGAGGCAGCAGCG
rnacentral:rRNA from 1 species